AUAAAGUGUAUGAGUCACAAGGGUUGUCAGCUUAUAAAGCAGUUGGAAUCCUUUCAUUGUUGCAUGUGCUGUUCUGAAGCAGUUUGUACUUUGACAGAUUCAUAGUGACUUCUAAAAGGACGAAAAGAGACUGCAAGAACUGAGUAACUACACUUUUAAAAAAAGCCUUCAUUGCAUGUAACAUUUUUGGGAGCGGAAAUUGAAAAUCAUCAACACAUCACAGCAGACAACAAAAACGAGUUCAAGAGGACCUGUCCAGCACUUCUGGAACAUCUGAGGUUCAAGAUUAAAAGCUUUUCCUGAGACCGUACAACAGAAGAGCAGUCAAAACACCAUCAGAUUUACAGUACUUGUUGUGUGCUGCUGUGUAGACCUCAGAAUAUGGCUGAAGAUGAUCAAAUCCGUGGACUGCUUGACGGUGUCCGUGAGCGUGACAGAAAGCUUCUUAUCUCCUGUCUUUCAUUGAGCUUUUUUUUAAUGCUUUUGGAAGCUUUGUUUGAUAAAGAUUUCUCAUGUCCAUGCGAUGUUGAGCUGAAUGCACAAAUGGUCAACCUCAUUUUUGCUGGACCUUUUGUUUUUGUUUUUGCUUUAAUUUGUUAUAUUAGUUUCGAUACCGAUAUAAAGAGUAGAUCUGAACUGCUCAAAACUUUUUUGCUUUGCCUGCUUCCACCUCUUUUGUGGAUCACUCUUGUGUUCCUUGACGGUGAUUAUGUUGCCUGUACAAAAACAUACUGGAAUGGACUGUAUGUUUAUGAUGAUCAGCAACAGUUCAAAUGGUGUAAACCGAUCAGUUCAGUCCCUGGGAAAAAUGACACCGAACUACGAGCUCUGACUCAGGGCUUUGUUGUUGAGUCACAGAUGACCGGUGUUAAGAUGCUUCUUGGUUUGGGCAUUACAGGAAUGGUCCCUGUAUUUAUUUUGAUCCUGAUAGUAGUUUGUGAAGUAUAUGCACUGUCGAAUGCUAAAUGACGUGAAACGAAACCAACAAUUAGUUGGGAGAAGAAAUUUCCUCUGAUACCUCUGAUCAUUGGAGGGGUAUAUUACCACACUUUAGAUGAUAGGUUAUGGAAAAUGUUAAGAAAUUUUGUCAUAAAGAAACAUUUAUCUUUGAAGACAAAUAAAGUACCUGAUUUCUGUGGUUAUAAAUUGUGACACAGUCCUUUUGGUUGUGAUUUUAUCUGCUGGUGUGAAAGACCAAACAGAAAUAUUAUUGUCCUGUUUUAAUAUGGUCACAUAAAAACUUUUUAUACAUCAAUAAGAACCAAAGUAUUAUGUAUUUUCAAACUCCCCCUGGUGACCACUGGGGCGCUGUAAUUAGAUUCCUUGAUCACAUGGAAUUUGUAUAUUUGUAUAAUUUGUAUAAGCAUAAAAACACCUGCACCAAGAGUUUUUUUUAGGUUGUAUAUGUAUAUGAUCACUCACAGUCUUCGUGUAAUCAUGAAUGUUGUCUGUGGCCUCCUUGAAGAUGUUCAUAUCUGUGGCAGACAACCCUAAAGACUGGCCAUGGCACAGUCAAAGAUUUGUAAAGGUGUAAAUCACCCUUCAAGUGUAAGAAAAAUUAUCACAGUGUUAAUUCAUGUAUUUUGAAGCUGCAGCUUAAUGCUAAUGCAAAAUAAAUAGCAUCAGUAUUCUUCAGA